UGCAAUGAAAGCAAGUGACGUGUCUUAUGACGACAAUUGUAGUUCCAAUCCUGUUUUCUUGCUUCCUCGUCCUUUUUUUCUGUAUUCCUGCAGAUCUGGCUACUCACGAUGCUUCAUCUGACCAAACGCAGUUGAGAUGAGAAAACUCUGUGCUCCAGAGGUGUUGCUCUGUAAGAAGCAAGAAUUUGUAGUCCACAAUCCUUUAAUUGUGCAUUACGCUCGUUCAGCCUCUCCGUUUGAAAAUGAAAUGAAAUGAUAUUCCUGUGUGAGCUGUUGGAGUAUAUGUGAUACAAACUCUUGUCUGCUGUCGGAGCUGAGUGACCUCCUCUGGAAUACCAUGCCGAGCAAAGACCUUUUUAACAGCUUUGACUGUGAUCUCUGCCGAUUUGAUAUUUAGACGGACAACCUCUAUAUGGAAAAGUAGUCCACAAUGAGCAGGUACAUUUUCUUCUUUCAUUCAAACAGAACCAUUCUGAACCUCUGCCAUGGAUGUGCCGGAAUUAAAGAAGCUUUUGAAUACAGUUUAAAAUGACUGGCUUCACACCAUGGCUUCCUCUCGAGCUUUACGCUGGGCCUCUUGUAUGGCCACUUUCUCCUCUUCACUGGCAACAUAUGACUCGGAUAUGAUUCGCUUGAACUCAGCGGAGGACAGAAUGAUAGACUGCCCCGACGGGUCUUCGCCUGGGAUUCUGGUUCAACAAAACAAGACAAUACUGUAUGAGGGUUUUUACACAUCUCUGUUCAGUAAAAAAAAUAUUUUUUUCUAAUUUGCGAACUACAGGCCUUCAACCUAGGAGAAGAAUAUGCAGAUGUCAUGGAAACUACUAUGAAGCUUGUGACCUACCUGAGAGCAUCAGCACCAUGUCAGCACCAUCUUCUGUAAGCAUUCCUGACUGAUGCAAAUGCUGCAUAUAAUGACACUCCUUUAUAACAAUGUGAGGUGGCUGAGCAAGGGAAGGGUCAUGGAGAGGUUUUGGGCCACCAGGAAAGAUUUGGAGAUGUUUUUAUCUCAACAGAAGAAUGUCAAAGCCAGGCAUUUCCUGGAUCUUCUGAGGUCGCUUUGGAUAAAAGCAUCUGCUAAAUGUCUACGUCAAUUUGUCUGCACAGCAAUGCAUGAAGUUGAACACACUUAUGAUUUCUGCAGCAGUAAAAACUGAGGAUCCAUAAUGCCAUUGAGAGAGUACAAAGCCACCUGAUUCUCCUGAGGCGCCUAGUUCACCUGAUUCUCCUGAGUCGCCUGGUUCACCUGAUUCUCCUGAGGCGCCUGGUUCACCUGAUUCUCCUGAGGCACCUGGUUCACCUGAUUCUCCUGAGGCGCCUAGUUCACCUGAUUCUCCUGAGUCGCCUGGUUCACCUGAUUCUCCUGAGGCGCCUGGUUCACCUGAUUCUCCUGAGGCGCCUGAUUCAC